rnacentral:tRNA from 1 species
CCAAUUGGGCUGCUUUAGCAGGCUACUUUGAUAUAGUAGAUUGUAAACAUUUGUUUCUUUGGU